UACGUAGGGCGCAAGCGUUGUCCGGAAUUAUUGGGCGUAAAGAGCUCGUAGGCGGUCUGUCGCGUCGGCUGUGAAAUCCCGAGGCUCAACCUCGGGUCUGCAGUCGAUACGGGCAAACUUGAGUGUUGCAGGGGAGACUGGAAUUCCUGGUGUAGCGGUGAAAUGCGCAGAUAUCAGGAGGAACACCGGUGGCGAAGGCGGGUCGCUGGGCAACAACUGACGCUGAGGAGCGAAAGCGUGGGGAGCGAACAGG
rnacentral:rRNA from 1 species